rnacentral:misc_RNA from 1 species
GAUGAAGAACGCAGCGAAAUGCGAUACGUAAUGUGAAUUGCUGAAUUCAGUGAAUCAUCGAAUCUUUGAACGCACAUUGCGCCUGCCAGCACUCUGGCAGGCAUGCCUGUUCGAGCGUCAUUUCAACCAUCAAGCCCUAGGCUUGCGUUGGAGCCCUGCGGCUGCCGCAGGCCCCUAAAAGCAGUGGCGGGCUCGCUAUCACACCGAGUGCAGUAGAUUACUCUUCGCUCAGGGCGUGUGGCGGGUUCCAGCCGUGAAACCCCCUACUUCUCAAGGUUGACCUCGGAUCAGGUAGGAAUACCCGCUGAACUUAAGCAUAUCAAUAAGCGGAGGA